AUGAUAGCAUUAUAUGGUAUACAUUACAUGUUGUUUCAGAAAUGUGCAUCAGUCCAGCUGCUCCAGGAAGCUAAUGUCUCGUCAGAACACAAGAGAACUUCAGAGUGGAGCAAAAUUUUAUUCAGUUUACUGAGCAUUCGUGCAGCACACUAUUUACAUGCUUUCAUCAUCUGCUGCUUCUUUUUCCUUACAAAAACAGUUGCAUGUUUACAUUCUACAUUGCCCGCAGAGGAAGCGGCCUCGGCGCCGAGGCAUCGACACCGGGCUGUCCAUGCCGCUGCCGCCGGAAACCGGCCGCCGUUGGUACCUUGCAGGCUCCGACGGGGCGCUUGUUACCCGGCCGCCGUGUUCAGGCUUGCGGUGAUGGCUGCGCUUGUUGAGCCAGGCGACGAUGUCGGCAAAGACCAGCUCCACAUUGUCGUCUGGCUCGCCGGCGGUGAGGCCGUGCCACAUCCCCGGGUAGAGCUUGAUUGUCUUGUCGGUGCUGGCGGCCCGGUCGUACAGCGCGCGGCUGACCUCCGGGUCGGUCACGGUGUCGGCCUCGCCGUGCAGGAUGAAGAAGGGCAUGGUCACCUCGGAGAGGCUGUCCUCGACGUCCAUGCUGGUCCUGAGCAGCUCCAGCGCCGUCUUGAGCCGCGGCUUGUCCUGGUAGAUGAGCUUGUUCCUCCUGAUGUUUUCGCGCUUGACGGGGUCCUUGAAGGCGGAGUCGAUCACGUCCUUGGUGGGCACGAUCUUCCAGGUCGGGAUGAGCUCCUCCACCUGCGUCAGGAGGGUCACCACCACCGGAUGCGGCUUCACCUUCUCCGAUAUCUGCAACGCCAUAAACAACAACCUACACUUGAGCUAGCAGGCAGAGGCAGGCAUUGCAGUAGAAGUUCAUCAUCAUGGCAGUAG
rnacentral:rRNA from 1 species